rnacentral:rRNA from 1 species
GACGAACGCUGGCGGCGUGCCUAAUACAUGCAAGUCGAGCGAAUGACGAGAAGCUUGCUUCUCUGAUUUAGCGGCGGACGGGUGAGUAACACGUGGGCAACCUGCCCUACAGACCGGGAUAACUCAGGGAAACCUGGGCUAAUACCGGAUAAUCCUUCGAAUCACAUGUUUUGAAGUUGAAAGGCGCUUCGGCGUCACUGUAGGAUGGGCCAGCGGUGCAGUAGCUAGUUGGUGGGGUAACGGCCUACCAAGGCAACGAUGCAUAGCCGACCUGAGAGGGUGAUCGGCCACAUGUGGACUGAGACACGGCCCAAACUCCUACGGGAGGCAGCAGUAGGGAAUCUUCCACAAUGGACGAAAGUCUGAUGGAGCAACGCCGCGUGAGUGAUGAAGGUUUUCGGAUCGUAAAACUCUGUUGUAAGGGAAGAACAAGUACGUUAGGAAAUGAACGUACCUUGACGGUACCUUAUUAGAAAGCCACGGCUAACUACGUGCCAGCAGCCGCGGUAACAC